UCACUUAUGAUGAUUUUAUAGUUCAGCUGAAUACUCUGAUGUACAUACAGCUUUGUCUUUCGCUCCUAUCUGACUAACUUA